rnacentral:tRNA from 1 species
GGCCCGUUAGCUCAGAUGGUAGAGCAGAGGACUGAAAAUCCUCGUGUCCCCGGUUCAAUUCCGGGAGGGGCCACCA